UUUGAGUAGACCAAGUUGAAGGGAUAGAUCAGGCUUUACUGUGCCUGUUUGUUCCUUUUUUAGUUUUACACUCACAAAGACCCAAGCUGGCCAUCUUCACUGGUAAUCAUAUUGUGCCUUUUAGAUGAGAUCAAUGCUUUGUGGUUCUGUUUUGAUCACUGAACACUGUUUGUCUGUUCAGGCUGUGGGCAUGCCUCUGGUGAUCCACUCUAACACACACCCAUCUGAUCUGGGGAUGAAGACUCCCGUUGGUGGUCACAAGCGUCUGAUCCCGUCUCCAGAGCCCAGCCCAGAAGGGGGCUACGUGGGUCAACACUCCCAGGGCCUUGGGGGCCACUAUGCUGACUCCUACCUGAAACGCAAGCGUAUCUUCUAAUGUAAACUAAUCAAAGCUUCUUGUAUGAGUUGCAAAUUAACAGCCAGGAUGUGGCUCAUGGCUCCAUUUCACCCUGGAGCUCCUCCAAUCAGCUUUUAGGUUUGGGCUUGGUGGUCCAGUGGUCUCUCACUUGUGUUCCUGCCAGCGACCCCUGGAGGGCGCUGGGGGUGCAGCCUGUCGCUAAUCAGGACAUGACAAUGCGUGCCAGUGUAUGGGAGUUUGAUGUUUUUCUUUUUUUUGUAAAUAUGAUUUCAGUGUGCUUGUAAAUUUAAGUUUUAUCUUUUUUUUUUAAUGUAAUUUUUUCAUUCAGGAAAUCCUUAUGUUUAAAACUGGGAGUUACCUUGUACUAUAAGAAAAUAAUUGUAAAAUCUGAUUUCAGGUCUUUUCUUCUGUGCAUUCUCUUCAUUGGUUGGCUGAACACAACUUUUUAAUUUGAGUUUUUUUAAAAUCUUUUUGCAUUAGCUUUUUCUUCCUGUUGUGAUGGUGUCAACGGGUUUCUAUUUUAAAACGUUUUGCCUCCCAAUAUUUUUGUAUAUAGUUCAUUAGUUUGUUUGAUUGGAUGGUGUUUUUCCCGCUCCUUCCUCCUACAGGGGUUAUGUACUGACUGUCUGGACAGGAUUCAGGCCUUUACUUGGAUUCACGUAGAUCUGUGUAGCCUUACCAAAAACUAGUCUGGAAUAUGCUGUUUCCAACCCUUCACUCUUCCACCCCUCCAUCUCAUUUGGGAGCCUGUUCUCUGCACUGAGUAUUUUAGUGUUGCACUUGGAGGACACAGGUGGGUCACAAUUCUCCAGGUUUGUUGAAUUUCUGUUCUCACUUUUUUCAUUUACAUUUUAUUUUUUCAACCUGUGCUCUGCCAAAACGGUGUAUUCUGUGUUGACGUGAGCUCUGAGUUAGUAUUUGCAUCUCAACCACCACGGCACCUGACUUGCGCUCAUUUGUUCGGAGGGGAUGGUUGCUGUGCCUUAUCCCGACUUUAAUAUCUACAGAUCAUAAUAGUAAGCAGGGACACCUGUGGCCUCUAUCCACUCAGAGCCUAAACAUGAAUUAACCGCUGUCAUUUAUUAAUGAGCCAUGGCUAGGUUGGCUCCCAUGUGGCUGUCCCUCUCCUGUAGACCAGCAGGGGAGGCUGUUUAUCCUCAGGGGCUAAACUGAGAUUUAAUCAAGCUUGACAGUUGUAUCAUUUUCAUCCAGUGUACCAGUCCAGGAGAAGUUGACUUCCUAUCUGAAGUGUUACUGUGAUGAGUGUCCAGUGACUCUUAACAGGUGUUUACUCUGUCUGCCUCGGGAGUUUGCAUGGAUAUUAAGCUUAUGAUUGGUCAGUGAUUGAGUUCUUAGUCUGUGAAGAAUAAUCUGGUUGACAUUUUGAUUGUGAGCACCAUUACCUCUUGACUUCUGAUGGGAACUGCAAUUACACUUGCGCCUUAACAGUUUUUUCCCCUGUCAUCUCAUCUUCCCCCUCUGGGCUUUUUGACUACACCCCCACCCCUUUGUUUUGUUUUUGCCGUGUACAUACUUUAAAGCUUGAACAUUUCCUCGGAGUCCUAAACUCUUGUUUUCUCAAUCAUAUCUUUUGCUUCUGGUCUGUUUUAAGAUUGAAACUGCUGCUCAAUACUUAGUGUAUAUUUUAGUGACAAUUAUCAAGUGCAGCCACAUGGCAGAUUUCCCCAUGUUCUGUAUCGACCCAGAUGUGCUGCUGGAUGACAUGAAUACAAGAAGCUCAUCUCUUCUGUCAUCUGUACUGCCAUAUGUCUGUUUUGGAGCAAGUAAAUGUUAUUUAAUUCGUC